rnacentral:rRNA from 1 species
GUCUAAGUAUAAGCAAUUAUACAGCGAAACUGCGAAUGGCUCAUUAUAUAAGUUAUCGUUUAUUUGAUAGUGCCUUACUACUUGGAUAACCGUGGUAAUUCUAGAGCUAAUACAUGCUGAAAGCCCCGACUCACGGAGGGGCGUAUUUAUUAGAUUAAAAACCAAUGCCCUUCGGGGCUCCUUGGUGAUUCAUGAUAACUUCUCGAAUCGCACGGCCUUGCGCCGGCGAUGGUUCAUUCAAAUUUCUUCCCUAUCAACUUUCGAUGUUUGGGUAGUGGCCAAACAUGGUGGCAACGGGUAACGGAGGGUUAGGGCUCGACCCCGGAGAAGGAGCCUGAGAAACGGCUCCUACAUCCAAGGAAGGCAGCAGGCGCGCAAAUUACCCAAUCCCGACUCGGGGAGGUAGUGACAAUAAAUACUGAUGCAGGGCUCUUUAGGGUCUUGCAAUUGGAAUGAGUACAAUUUAAAUCCCUUAACGAGGAACAAUUGGAGGGCAAGUCUGGUGCCAGCAGCCGCGGUAACUCCAGCUCCAAUAGCGUAUAUUAAAGUUGUUGUGGUUAAAAAGCUCGUAGUUGAACCUUGGGCCUGGCCGUCCGGUCCGCCUCACCGCGUGCACUGGCACGGCCGGGCCUUCCCACCGCGGAAUCGCAUGCCCUUUACUGGGCGUGUCGGGGAAGCGGUACUUUUACUGUGAAAAAAUUAGAGUGCUCUAAGCAGGCCUAUGCUCGAAUACAUUAGCAUGGAAUAAUAGAAUAGGACAGGCGUUCUAUUUUGUUGGUUUCUAGGACGUCUGUAAUGAUUAACAGAAACAAUCGGGGGCGUCAGUAUUGCAUCGUCAGAGGUGAAAUUCUUAGAUCGACGCAAGACUAACUACUGCGAAAGCAUUCGCCAAGGGUGUUUUCAUUAAUCAGGAACGAAAGUUAGGGGAUCGAAGACGAUCAGAUACCGUCGUAGUCUUAACCAUAAACUAUGCCGACUAGGGAUCGGGCGGUGUUAAUUUUUGACCCGCUCGGCACCUUACGAGAAAUCUUAAGUGCUUGGGCUCCAGGGGGAGUAUGGUCGCAAGGUGAACUAG